AGAGUUUGAUCCUGGCUCAGGACGAACGCUUGCGGCGUGCCUAAGAAAUGCAAGUCGAGCGGAGAAGUAGCAAUACUUCUUAGCGGCGAACGGUCGCGUAACACGUAAGCAACCUGCCGAAAAGACCGGGACAACAUCUCGAAAGGGGUGCUAAUACCGGAUGUGGCCAUCGAUAGGCAUCUAUUGAUGAUUAAAUCCUGCGUUUACGCGUGGGGCUUUUCGAGGGGCUUGCGGCCUAUCAGCUAGUUGGUGGGGUAACGGCCUACCAAGGCGACGACGGGUAGCUGGUCUGAGAGGACGGCCAGCCGGACUGGGACUGAGAUACGGCCCAGACUCCUACGGGGGGCAGCAAUUAGGAAUCUUGCACAAUGGGCGAAAGCCUGAUGCAGCGACGCCGCGUGGAGGAGGAAGUCCUUCGGGAUGUAAACUCCUUUUCAGAGAGAAGAACACAAUGACGGUAUCUCUGGAAUAAGCUCCGGCUAACUACGUGCCAGCAGCCGCGGUAAUAC
rnacentral:rRNA from 1 species